rnacentral:rRNA from 1 species
UACGUAGGGGGCAAGCGUUGUCCGGAUUUAUUGGGCGUAAAGAGCGUGUAGGCGGCCAGGUAGGUCUGCUGUGAAAACUCGAGGCUUAACUUCGAGCUGUCGGCGGAAACCAUCUGGCUAGAGUCCGGAAGAGGAGAAUGGAAUUCCCGGUGUAGCGGUGAAAUGCGCAGAUAUCGGGAAGAACACCCGUGGCGAAGGCGGUUCUCUGGGACGGUACUGACGCUGAGACGCGAAAGCGUGGGGAGCGAACAGG